UGGCCGCGCUACGUGACGAGCUACGGGUCCCCCUUUGUGAUGUUUUGGCAUCGCUCCUUCAUCGCACAUCCUCAGGUACGUCAAUUCACUUCCUUCCCUUCCCUUCGUCCCUCGGUCCCACGCUCGUGGCGCUGAAGUGGUGGCAACAGGCGAUGGCGGUGGUGUCGCUGAUGGCGGCGAGGACAGCAUGUGGCAGCUCCCGAAGCAUGAACACGACCGCACCUCGGGCCUGCCGUCUGCCAAGAUAUGGCUCUGGCCGAUUGACAAUGGAGGUUUGGGAUCCUUCCUCUCAGCACCCACUCCUGGAAGAAUCAGCGGUGCGCCACGCCGAUUGAACCCCGUCGAGAUCACUCGCCAAGAUUGCUAUUCUGAAGUUUAUUGUAAAGAAAGUGAAGAGUGAGACAGGAUCCGUUUAUUUUCAACCGGUUUAUUUUCAACCGGUUUAUUUCCAUCAAAUUACC